UACAGAGGGGGCAAGCGUUGUUCGGAAUUACUGGGCGUAAAGGGCGCGUAGGCGGCCUGCUAAGUCGAACGUGAAAUCCCUGGGCUUAACCCAGGAACUGCGUCCGAUACUGGUUGGCUUGAAUCCGGGAGAGGGAUGUGGAAUUCCAGGUGUAGCGGUGAAAUGCGUAGAUAUCUGGAGGAACACCGGUGGCGAAGGCGGCAUCCUGGACCAACACUGACGCUGAGGAGCGAAAGCCAGGGGAGCAAACGGG
rnacentral:rRNA from 1 species